AGUGGCGGACGGGUGAGUAACGCGUAAGAAUCUAACUUCAGGACGGGGACAACAGUGGGAAACGACUGCUAAUACCCGAUGUGCCGCGAGGUGAAACCUAAUUGGCCUGAAGAAGAGCUUGCGUCUGAUUAGCUAGUUGGUGGGGUAAGAGCCUACCAAGGCGACGAUCAGUAGCUGGUCUGAGAGGAUGAGCAGCCACACUGGGACUGAGACACGGCCCAGACUCCUACGGGAGGCAGCAGUGGGGAAUUUUCCGCAAUGGGCGAAAGCCUGACGGAGCAACGCCGCGUGAGGGAGGAAGGUCUUUGGAUUGUAAACCUCUUUUCUCAAGGAAGAAGUUCUGACGGUACUUGAGGAAUCAGCCUCGGCUAACUCCGUGCCAGCAGCCGCGGUAAUACGGGGGAGGCAAGCGUUAUCCGGAAUUAUUGGGCGUAAAGCGUCCGCAGGUGGUCAGCCAAGUCUGCCGUCAAAUCAGGUUGCUUAACGACCUAAAGGCGGUGGAAACUGGCAGACUAGAGAGCAGUAGGGGUAGCAGGAAUUCCCAGUGUAGCGGUGAAAUGCGUAGAGAUUGGGAAGAACAUCGGUGGCGAAAGCGUGCUACUGGGCUGUAUCUGACACUCAGGGACGAAGGCUAGGGGAGCGAAAGGGAUUAGAUACCCCUGUAGUCCUAGCCGUAAACGAUGGAUACUAGGCGUGGCUU
rnacentral:rRNA from 1 species